rnacentral:tRNA from 1 species
GGCAUUGUGCCUGAACAAAGGAUAACAUUGAUAGUGUUAAUCAUAUAGGCCUCUCCUAUCUUUGCCU